CUUUGACUGUCGACUCGCUUCUUAUUUCUGUAGCGAAACCCAGCAGCCUUCAUUAUGUUUUUAUCUGAAAAGUGUCUCUUAUGGAAUCUGCUGCUUUCUUUACUGACAUACAAACAUUUUUCUGUAACGUUUCAUUUUGUGCUGGAAAACUAAUGUUUGGAAUCUAAAAGGUUUUUGUCCUGAAUCAAUAAUGUAGAAGUCAGAAAAUAAACAUCUAUAACAAAGUUUGUAUAAAAAAAAAUAUAGGGUGCCAAGACUUUUGCACAGUAUAAUAAUAAAAAUAAUUUUGAUUAAUACAGCUACAUCAUAAAUAAAUAAAGAAAGAAAGAUAUAAAAGUACAUCAGGUGGAUUGUGGGUAAAUAAAUAAAACUCUGAAGACUAGAAAUUAUAACAUUUAUUUUUAUUUUUUCAUCACAUUCCAAAUAAAAAUGUUGGUGUUAAUUAUUGGAAUAAAUAAAAUAAAUGACUUCAUAAGUAUAAAAUAGUGCGCACACACACACACACACACACACACACGCAGAGGAUACACUGAAAAUACAAAAUAUAUUUACUUCCGUUAUCACACUGGGAUACAAAUAAAAUGAAUCUAAUAAAAAUGAAUAAUGAUACAGUGAUUGAUUUUUCCGUACUGGAUUAAGACUGGAAGACUGAAUACUUCUGUAAAUACAGAUAAUACAAAUAAAAUUAGAUACAUAUAAAAAUGGAAUGGAGUUGGGGUUUUAUUUAUUUAUUUAUUUACACUUCAGCUCCAUUUUAUGCUUUAAAAUAAAAAAUAAUAAUAAAUAAAGAAUAUAAAACACACCAGAAAAUGCAUUAAUAAAGUUUAUAUUGGGGAUUUAUCCUGAGAUUUGAAUCCGACGGCUGCCUGGAAUAUCGUUUAUAAAUCAGCACACAUCCUGAUACAUGAUAUGUAAAUUAUAUGUAAAUUAUAUGUAAAUUAUAUGUAAAUAAGCUCCCUAACAGACCCCUAAUCACUGUAUUUAUUUAUUUUUAAAUAAAAACUGCCUUAUUUUUAAUUAGAGCUUUACAGUAAUGACUCAAGUAAAAUACACAAAUAAAACACAAUAACUCACUUUAAUUUGAAUGAAAAGGGAGAAAAAAAAAAUUAGAAAAAUUCAAAAUGAGGAAAAACAGACAGUAAGUUAAAGAAGUGUAAUAAAUUAAUAACGUGGCUGUUAAACGUACAGCGUUAGCAGACUGACAUACAGCGAGGUGUGAUUAACGAUUAGACAUGAAUCCAGUCCUGCUUAUUGUAAUUAAUCUGUUGACUAAAAUAAAGGUUUAAACAUCAAAACCUGAGACAGGAAGUGAUGAAAUGUAUUCCUGAUGCUGAGGGAUAAACCUGCAGAGCGUUUCAGUAAUUUUACUCCUACUUCUGGGACGAAUGAGAGAAUUUCAUUUACUGUGCAGAACUUCCUGUUAGAUAAAACUGAUGAAAUAAAGAUGAAACUAAAAUAAA